CUGGCGGCAGGCUUAACACAUGCAAGUCGAGCGGAGCGAGGGUGCUUGCACCUUAGCUUAGCGGCGGACGGGUGAGUAAUGCUUAGGAAUCUGCCUAUUAGUGGGGGACAACGUUGGAAAGAACGCUAAUACCGCAUACGUCCUACGGGAGAAAGCAGGGGAUCUUCGGACCUUGCGCUAAUAGAUGAGCCUAAGUCGGAUUAGCUAGUUGGUGGGGUAAAGGCCUACCAAGGCGACGAUCUGUAGCGGGUCUGAGAGGAUGAUCCGCCACACUGGGACUGAGACACGGCCCAGACUCCUACGGGAGGCAGCAGUGGGGAAUAUUGGACAAUGGGGGGAACCCUGAUCCAGCCAUGCCGCGUGUGUGAAGAAGGCCUUUUGGUUGUAAAGCACUUUAAGCGAGGAGGAGGCUUACCUAGU
rnacentral:rRNA from 1 species